rnacentral:ncRNA from 2 species
UGUUUCCUUCGGGGCAGGGUGUAACUCCCUACCGGCGGUGAUGAGCUGAAAAGCUCUUAGUCCGUGACCCGGACGCUUUGUGAAAAGCGGAAGGUGGAUUUGGUGAAACUCCAAAGCCGACAGUUAAAGUCUGGAUGAGAGAAGGAACAA